UACGGAGGGAGCUAGCGUUGUUCGGAAUUACUGGGCGUAAAGGGCGCGUAGGCGGCCUUCUAAGUCGAACGUGAAAUCCCCGGGCUCAACCCGGGAACUGCGUCCGAUACUGGAAGGCUUGAAUCCGGGAGAGGGAUGCGGAAUUCCAGGUGUAGCGGUGAAAUGCGUAGAUAUCAGGAGGAACACCUGUGGCGAAAGCGGCUCACUGGACCACAACUGACGCUGAGGCGCGAAAGCUAGGGGAGCAAACAGG
rnacentral:rRNA from 1 species